AUGAGGAUCCUGCGGGGCACUUGCAAGCAUUCAUUAGACACUAUCAGUAGGCACUUCUCCUCCGUGUUAACAACCAUACUUUCCCUAAGUGGGGAGUUUAUCAAGCUUCCCAAUCCAUCUAUCGAGCCUCCAGAUGAUUACAAAUGGAAGUGGUUUGGCAAUGCAUUGGGAGCACUAGAUGGGUGUCAUGUUGAUGUUUCUGUUGUUCCAUCUUACCAAGGAAGGUAUAGGAACAGAAAGCAAGCGAUCACCACUAACAUGCUAGGUGUGGUUGACCGGAACAUGAAAUUUCUUUAUGUUCUACCUGGCUGGGAGGGAUCUUCAUCUAACUCGAGAGUGAUGCGUGAUGCAAUGAGAAAUAAUCGUCAAGAUGCAUUUGUUGUACCUCAGGGAAAGUAUUACUUAGUGGAUGCUGGCUACACCAAUGGGCCGGGCUUUCUUGCUCCAUUCCAGUCGACUCGGUGCCACUUGAAAGAGUGGGUUGCAAGUCAACAACAGCCCCAAACUUCUAAAGAGCUCUAUAACUUGCGUCAUUCUCGUGCUAGAAAUGUUGUGGAGAGAACUUUUGGAUUGUGGAAGAAAAAAUGGGCUAUACUAAGAGUUCAAUCUUUCUUUGAUAUAAAGGACCAGAUUCGAAUUAUUAAUGCUUGUUGCGUGUUACACAACUUUGCAAGGGAUAGGCAACAUGUGAUGGAUGAUCUAUUGCUUCUAGAAGUUGACCAUGAAGUAGAUGAUUUGGAACUUGAGCCGGGGGAUGACGCUAACUUAAAUACAUCUGUUGAAGUCACAAAUGAAUGGACCAACUUUAGGCAAAACUUUGCAGAUGACAUGUAUGCCAAGUACCUUGUGAGGCAUGCAAAACUAGAGAUGUAG
rnacentral:rRNA from 1 species